AUUGGGUUUGUACCCGUAUGCAUAAAUUAAAAAAAAAAAAAAAAAAAAAAUUAUUUUUUUAUAAACAGCACAGUGUUUGGUAUGUGUAAAAAAUUAUAAUAAUGACGAAAAUAAAUUGUGUGUAAAACAAGUGCUCAUGACAAUUUGUGUAUAAUAUUAGUGAUACAUUGAAAUAAUCAGAUAUCACAGAUAAACAAUGAUAUUUGUGGCGAUUAGUAAAAUAUAUAAAAAAAGUACUUAUCAAUGUCCCAAAAAUUGCUGUGAUGUAAAAAAUAAGUGUCCAAUCCUAAUAUGUGAACAGUGAUGUGUUCAGAUGCCUGAUGAAACGGUCUGGAAUAGACUGAGAAACGCGUUGCAAAAUAAAUACUGUUUGUUUUAUACCACGA